UACGUAGGGAGCAAGCGUUGUCCGGAAUCAUUGGGCGUAAAGCGCGCGUAGGUGGCUUCGUAAGUCCGUUGUGAAAGUCAAAGGCUCAACCUUUGAAAGCCGAUGGAUACUGUGGAGCUAGAGUACGGAAGAGGCGAGUGGAAUUCCUGGUGGUAGCGGUGGAAAUGCGCAGAUAUCAGGAGGAACACCAAUAGCGAAGGCAGCUCGCUGGGACGUUACUGACACUGAGGCGCGAAAGCGUGGGGAGCGAACAGG
rnacentral:rRNA from 1 species